rnacentral:rRNA from 1 species
UACGUAGGGCGCAAGCGUUGUUCGGAAUUACUGGGCGUAAAGCGCGUGUAGGCGGCCCUGUAAGUCGGGUGUGAAAUCCCACGGCUCAACCGUGGAAGUGCAUUCGAAACUACAGGGCUAGAGUUCUGGAGAGGAAGGUGGAAUGCUUGGUGUAGAGGUGAAAUUCGUAGAUAUCAAGCGGAACACCGGUGGACGGAAGGCGCCUUCGUGGACAGUAACUGACGCUGAGACGCGAAAGCGUGGGGGAGCAAACAGG